CCAAAAAAAGCAAAAAGAUAAAAGGAAGAGUGGGCAGGAGUCAGGCGGGCGCACAUUUCUGAAAUGCCGUGUUAACUUCGCUGCUAGACUUCAGGAGCCCUUUUUUUCCUCACCUCUUUUCAAAGCCAAGUUGAACUCUGCUGCAGUUUUUCCCCAACGUGCUUGACCCUGACCCCUCUUGUUUCGUGUGGCGUCUCAUGGGGAUUUGCAUUCGUUGCUGUCCUUUGGGAGACCAGCUUCUAAGGAGUCACAAGUCAGAUAAUCAAAAAAACCACAGACACAAAUGCCUAGCACACCAGGUGGUAUUCCGUUCGAAGAUAUUAUUAAUGAGAUAUUUUAAUUUUGUUUGUACGAAGACUUUGAAACCCCGUCUCGACUUUCUAUUUAGAGAACACGUUGGUUCACAGCAGCCACUUUUCAGGGGCUCAGGGGCCACAUGGUUCAGACCCUCGGGAGGGGGAGAGCACACAGGGCUUUGUGACCUUUUAAUGCAGCAAAAAAAGGAUUCCAGAGGCUUUCUUCCCCCAACCCCCUUCUCCACUAAUCCUCUUCAAUUACACUUAUUUCCUCGGUGAGCUGAGGGUGAAAGUAUUUACCACUCCUUGCCUCAAAGGGAUUUUGAAAAGAUUAAAAAAAAAAUGUUUCAGCUCAGUCUUCUGAGCCCAUCAGCCCAUCCCGGUGGUCAUGAUUAUAAAUAAAAGCCAUCGCUGUUAUUUGCCUUCUUGAGUCCGUAAUAUGUCAUCGAUUUGAGCAGCUGCAGAGUUUGCUUUGGAGAAUUAAGCUGAAAAAAACAAACACAGGAGUGAAAAGAAAAAGAAUGUGGAACUUUGAGUCAGGCUUUUCUUCAGAACACACUCAAUUGUCUGAGGGGUGAAGCUUCCUCUAUUUUAACAAAGGAAAGUUAAUUGUGAAGCAUCUUGUGAAAUGUGGAAACUAACAUGAUAAGCAGUGACGUUUUAAUGGGCCGAAAACUAGCUUGCAUAGACACUGCAGGCCAAAAAAAAAAGAAAGAAAGAAAGAAAAGAAAAAACGAAUGCUCCUUUUAUCCAUCUAAAGAGAAAAAAACCCACCUCAUUAUCAGCUCUCAAUAGAGGAUUAAGAAGCUCUGAGCAGCUGAGCAGAGAAGCUUCUGGAAGGCUGGCAUGCCAGGGAAGUUUAUCAGGUUUUUGAAAGGAAGCAUGUCAACCCCACUGAACUCCCACCCUCUCGUCUACACAAUGGGGAGAGCUACACACACAGGUCUGACUGGCCAGUCUACGUUUGCAAAGAGAUGAGUUAGAAAAGACCAGAGGUUGGGGCAGGCUGGACACGGGAGGGGGAGCUGACUAAAAGGCUUCUGUUAGUUGCAGGUACCUCCCCUCGUCCCGUCACUGUUCUUGCCCUUGCAGACAGCUGAAGGACAUGUCUGAGAUACAACUGGGGGCGGGGGCAGCUAGCUGCUCCCCUGAAUGAGCAGGCCCACUGCUGGUCCUAGUAGGGUUUUCUCUUUCUCUUCCACUCAGCAGAUGGAGACCGGGACAUUCUAACGUUGGCAAAGUUAAACAUUCAAGCUACCACUUAAAUUUUCUGCUGCAAAAGAAUUUUCAACCACCAAAUGGUUGGAAUUAAGGGGAAAAGAUCACCACUCCCCUGUAAUGCCCUUACGAAAACUGCUUGCUGUUUCUUAUUUCAGGCUGGAAGAUUCUUUAGGACGUCCAAUUUGGGUAGACGAUGCUGUCUUCAGCAUUGCGUUACGGAUGCUCAGGAAUGAGCGUCAUUGCGGUGGACCCUUUCUGUGGCCGUGGGCCUUGGGAGACCAGAUUAGUGCUGAGCUAACAUCUGCUGCCAAUCAUCUUCUUUCUGCUGAGGAAGACUGGCCCUGAGCUAACAUCUGUGCCCAUCUCCCUCUACUUUAUAUAUGGGAUGCCUACCACAGCAUGGCUUGCCAAGUGGUGCCAUGCCCACACCUGGGAUCCGAACUGGCGAAGCCUGGGCCACCAAAGCAGAACAUGCAAACUUAAUUGCUGCACCACCAGGCUGGCCCCCACCUUUGGUGUUUUUUUGAUGGUGAACCUUAAAGUGCUCAUUGUAUCAAUUUAUCGGGACCUGCCUAUACCAAUGACUACUAUUUGUAGACAGGAAACAAACAACAACCAGAGAUUGCCAGGAUCCUGGAGUUAUUGGCAUCCACUUGCCUUUCCCUCGCCUUUUGCUGUUUUGGGGUUCCUGCCUCAUGAGAGCUAUAGCUGGAGGUCCAAGAAAGCAACUUGCACGCUUUGGGUGGGAAAAGCUUUUGGCCUUCACAAGGGGAAACGCCCCAGCGAACGUGUGGUUUUCCUCCAUAGCUAAGUUGAGCACAACAUGUUAAGAAAUAUUGCCCAAAACCUUUCCUAUCAGAAGCAUUUAAGUUAUUCUUAAACAGUUUUGACAACAGCAUAUUUUACCUCGAAGCCAUAACCAUGCAUUAUUUAGAUAACAGAUUUCUGCUGAAUUCCAUCCCCUUUCUUGUCCUAAAUGUUGUAAUGUAUUGGGUAUUUAAGAACACACGCAAGAACGUUAGCCACAGGACUAUGUGUCCAACCUACUCUGUAAAAUGCUCCUAUUAUCAAAAUGUAUGCUUCUGAGUUACAAAAUAGUUUUUCCCUUUUAGAUGGUAUGCAGAUUGCCAGGGAAUAAUGCCUUUUAUUGUUAACCUUUGUUAAGUAAUAGUAGCAUUUGUUUCCGUUAAAACAUGACUAUUUCUGUGUAACAUUUAUUGCAUAAAAAUAGAACAACGUUGACAAUUUGCAGCCCCUCUUCUUGCCAGCUCUUCCCCUAGAUGUCUGGAAGACAAACGUACUUUUUC
ensembl:lncRNA